UACGAAGGGGGCUAGCGUUGCUCGGAUUUACUGGGCGUAAAGGGCGCGUAGGCGGACAGUUAAGUUGGGGGUGAAAGCCCGGGGCUCAACUUCGGAAUUGCCUUCAAUACUGGCUGUCUUGAGUGUGAGAGAGGUGUGUGGAACUCCGAGUGUAGAGGUGAAAUUCGUAGAUAUUCGGAAGAACACCAGUGGCGAAGGCGACACACUGGCUCACUACUGACGCUGAGGCGCGAAAGCGUGGGGAGCAAACAGG
rnacentral:rRNA from 1 species